GAUGAAUAUUUCUGUGCCAGUUCUACUUUGUGAAGGAGGGACGCAGAAGGGUAUGCGCGCAGACGAACGGAAGAGUCUGUAGAAGCAUGUAGAGUGACUUGGUAGGCAAAUCCGCCAGGUUAGACUUAAGGUGUGACAUAUACUCGCAAGAGGAAUGCGCAAAUCCCACGCUGCCGAGAAAAGCUUCUAGCGGUAAAGUAGAGACUGCCCGUACUGGAAACCGACACAGGUGGUCAGGAUGAGAAAUCUAAAGCG
rnacentral:rRNA from 1 species